UACGGAGGGUGCAAGCGUUGCUCGGAAUUAUUGGGCGUAAAGGGCAGGUAGGUGGUCUCAUUUGUCAGGGGUGAAAGCCUUGGGCUUAACUCAAGAAGUGCCCCUGAAACGGUGAGACUGGAGUUCUGGAGAGGGUCGUGGAAUUCCCGGUGUAGCGGUGAAAUGCGUAGAGAUCGGGAGGAACACCAGAGGCGAAGGCGGCGACCUGGAUAGCAACUGACACUCAACUGCGAAAGCGUGGGGAGCAAACAGG
rnacentral:rRNA from 1 species